rnacentral:rRNA from 1 species
GCGAAGCUCCUGAUCGAAGCCCCAGUAAACGGCGGCCGUAACUAUAACGGUCCUAAGGUAGCGAAAUUCCUUGUCGGGUAAGUUCCGACCUGCACGAAUGGCGUAAUGAUGGCCAGGCUGUCUCCACCCGAGACUCAGUGAAAUUGAACUCGCUGUGAAGAUGCAGUGUACCCGCGGCAAGACGGAAAGACCCCGUGAACCUUUACUAUAGCUUGACACUGAACAUUGAGCCUUGAUGUGUAGGAUAGGUGGGAGGCUUUGAAGUGUGGACGCCAGUCUGCAUGGAGCCAACCUUGAAAUACCACCCUUUAACGUUUGAUGUUCUAACCUAGGCCCAUAAACUGGGUCGGGGACCGUGUCUGGUGGGUAGUUUGACUGGGGCGGUCUCCUCCUAAAGAGUAACGGAGGAGCACGAAGGUUGGCUAAGCAUGGUCGGACAUCAUGCGGUUAGUGCAAAGGCAUAAGCCAGCUUGACUGCGAGAGUGACGGCUCGAGCAGGUACGAAAGUAGGUCUUAGUGAUCCGGUGGUUCUGAAUGGAAGGGCCAUCGCUCAACGGAUAAAAGGUACUCCGGGGAUAACAGGCUGAUACCGCCCAAGAGUUCAUAUCGACGGCGGUGUUUGGCACCUCGAUGUCGGCUCAUCACAUCCUGGGGCUGAAGUAGGUCCCAAGGGUAUGGCUGUUCGCCAUUUAAAGUGGUACGCGAGCUGGGUUUAGAACGUCGUGAGACAGUUCGGUCCCUAUCUGCCGUGGGCGUUGGAAGAUUGAGAGGGGUUGCUCCUAGUACGAGAGGACCGGAGUGAACGCACCACUGGUGUUCGGGUUGUCAUGCCAAUGGCAUUGCCCGGUAGCUAAGUGCGGAAGAGAUAACCGCUGAAAGCAUCUAAGCGGGAAACUUGCCUCGAGAUGAGUCUUCCCUGUCGCUUUAAGCGACCUAAAGGAACGUUUAAGACUAAGACGUUGAUAGGCUGGGUGUGUAAGCGUAGCGAUACGUUGAGCUAACCAGUACUAAUGAACCGUGAGGCUUAACC